CAAAACGCUCGCACCCCUCGCACCUCUCGCUCAUAGCCUUCGUUCUCUCCUCCCAGCUAGGGUUCCCUCCGCUGCCGCCGCCAUCCUCACCGGCGCUCGUGCUUCAUCUCCGAUCCCGAGCUCCACCUAUCAUCCAGCGUCAUCUACCCCAACCUUCUCGAUUUGAAUCUCAGGAUCUCUCUGUCUUGUGGGGCCAGGCCUCCCGUCCGCAACACGACGCCGCCGGCAUAGAGGCCCGGGCUCGGGCAGCAGCCACGGUGUCGGGAGGUGCGCCAACGAGGUCUCUGGGGACGUGGUUCACGGGCGACGAUGGCAUCAGGCAUAAGGUCGACCCGGCGCAAGAGAGGAUCGCACGGUGGCGACGGGAUGCGCGACGCGCCAGUGAUCGAAGGAGACCUCCGGCGGCCUGGACGGGAAGUGCGACCGGUUGGCGAGCGUGGCACCGAGGUCAGAGGAGAAGCAGUCCCUGGCGACCUCCGCCGAGGUGACGACAACGACGGGGAACGAGUCCAGGAGGAGGGAGAAGACUAGGUCGUGGCGUGCGAGUGUGAAGCAAGAGCCACGAGCCCACGACGGCUCCAUCAUCAGGGACCAUGAACAGCUUGGGAAUAAGGAGGAUGUGACCUGUGAUUGUCAUGGACCUGGAGGUGACACUGAUAAGGAAGGUGAGUUUACUACUGAUCUGGAGUAGUAUUACUAGAUUGCAAAUCAUGGGUUUAGUAGUUACUGCAGAAAUAUUGGGUAGUUGGUUCAGUUCACCUUUUAUAUUUAUAUGGUCCUAACGAUAAUAGUGCUUUUCAGCAAAAUUCAGUCUAUGAAGUAAAUGCGGAAAAGCUUCUUUUCUACUGAUAAUAACUGUUGAGUAUUCAUCUGACAUAGCAAAUGCUUGGUCCAGCUGGAGAUAUAUAGAUUACAUGGUUCUAUUUCACCAUAAUAUAUUUCUGACAUGAUCGUUCCUUACUGUUUCCUGAAGAAAACUAAUGAUCAAACUGCAGAAGAAACAUUAUUCAGAUAGGAGUUAAUAAGCAGUUUGUAGUCUUAAAAUUUCCUUCUCUUUUUCGUAAAAAUAAAAUUUUUCGUUAAAAUUUACUUCUAAAAUUUACAAUAGGAGUACGCAAUGAGUUUGAACAAAUGAAUGCAAAACCUACCAGAUUUGCAAUGCCGUUGUUUCUUGAAAUCUUCCUCAUUUGUAUGAUGUGUAUUCCUUAGUUGGCUGCUAUUUUAACGCUUACUCUCCUAUUAUUUUGAGGAAACUUCACGAGGAAGAGGAUUACUACAAGUUUUUGUUUCAAAUAGGAAAUGAACGAAACAGGUUUUUUCUAACCUCUCAUGUAGUCUAUAUGUACCUACGUAUUUCAUAAAGAACAUGAGAUACGGAUGAGAGGAUAUGAGGACGGUCCCCUCACUCACCUUCACUUGCUCAUAUGCCACCUCUGGUUAGAGUUGGGAGCACUGCCGAGUCGUUGAGCAGUCCUCCUCUGUCUUAUUUGAUCAGCUGGCUGAGAUCGACCGUGCUCGCCGUCGGCUUCACUGCCUCCUCUAUCCUGGACUGCAGCGUCAAGGCACUAUGGUGCUUGUUUAGGCCGUCCACGAGGCCAGGACCCAGGAUCUGCUGGUUUUCCCUACAAUCGUGCCCACCAUAUGUUUACUGAAAUGCUUCCUUGCAGAGAUAGUUGGAACUUUUUCUGAACUGACCCAUUAAUUGUUCCUUGGUCUGUAUAUUCAGACUUGGAUCACCGGAUUAUUCAAUACUUUUUGUGCUGCAGAACUACAGAAGUACUACUUGAUCAUUGCAGUGUCCUGUUCUGUGUAUACCAAUAUCUCUAAACAGGAGUUUCCAGUAUCUCUGCAAUUUCCUAGUUGGACAGGAUGUUGCCAAAUACAGUAGAAAUCAGGGGUGCGACAUUUUUAAGAAGCCACUUUUUGUCAAAAUAUGCAAGCUAUAUGAUGGGUACAUGGCGGUGUUACUGAAUGAAAGGAGGUUAUGCCACAAAUCACAUCUCUAUCAAUCCAUUUGCAUCCAUUAUACCAUUCUCACAUCUCAGCUUAGGCUCACUUAUGGUUAGAUAAACUACUGUUCAAACAGAGAUCUCGCAAUCGUGUUAUACUGUUGUUGAGGGCUAUCCUGUGUCUGAUGAGAGAAUUUAAUGGACUAAUGGAUGGCCACAAUGUGGACGAUAUAAUAAUCCUUGGUAUCCUACGAACAUCCUUACAAGGAUAUCAUGUGCAGACUUUUCUUUGCUUCCGUUCAAGAUGUAUAUGUUCCUCAAGGUACAGACUUACAUGCAUUUUCUGUGUGAGAUGGGCAUUCAUUUGUUCUCUCUUGCAAAAUUAGUUCACACUAAACGAAAAUCGUAUCUCUUCUGAAUAUGUUUAAAAAAACUAUAGCUCUCAUGUGCGAGAGGCUUGGUUUGUACACGUAUCAUACAAGGUUAAUACUGCCAAUUAUGUGCUGUACAAAUAUCUCUUUUAGGUUUUACAACCACUCACUUGAGUAUGAUGUUCUCCAAUUGCUUAAUGAACCUUCUGGUGAAGCAAUAGAGCUAUUGCUUCAUGAUGUAGUUUCUGUGAUAACUGAUAUUUUUCAUGGGAGUUUUCCAUGAUUUUCAGUCAUUGCUUGUGCUGCUUAUGAAGCUACAGUUUUCUGCAUAAAUAUGAUACCUUUGUUUUAAUAGGAAUAUUCACAUCGAUGUAGUUUCCGUGUUAACUGAUAUUUUUCUUGGGAGUUCACGAUGAUUUUUUUCUUGGGAGUUCUCCAUGAUCUCAGUCGUUGCUUGUGCUGCGUAUGAAGCUACAGGUUUCUUGCAUAGAUAUGAUACCUUUGCUUUAAUAGGAAUAUCCACAUCAAUGUGGUCACGUAUUAAAGAGAAAAGAAUAAGUGAUGUAUGAAUGAUGCUCAACUAUAACUAAUCUACCAUAUCACAUCCACCUUCCGCCGUACCAUGUUUCAUCAUUGUUUUCAUUGCUUCAAUGUUUACACUCAAAUCAUACUUCAUAAGCACAUUCAAAUCAUGUGCUUAUGAUACAUUCUUAUUUUUGCAAUACACCAAUGUAGCGGCUUGCUUCUGUUUCACUUGCAUCAUGACAAUAACUUCAUAGCAACUAACAUCCUUUUUUUGAACACAUCAUCACGCUGGAACGAACAGGAGCAACCAGCGUACAUCAUCUGUGGUGAGAACAAAUUAAACUGAUCUGUGCUGCUCUAAUGCAGUUGCAUACUUAUAAUCACAACUAAGCAUACUAUGUGAAUGCAAGAAAACACUAGGUGGCCUUUGUGCAGAUGCUUUAUGGGUACUAUUUAGAUACUAUUAUCAUUGAGAUUAGCUAGCUAACAUGCAAGGAUGUUAGAAAAGAAAAGGUAUAAGGAAUAUGACAUAAGUAAGGAGAAGAGCAAGACAAUCAUGUUAACCAUUGACCAUUGAAAGAAACAUAUUUGUAACAUUUUCCUUAUAACAUGUCUCUUUCAUAGCAACAAUAUAGCCUGUCAUGGAUCAGUCAUCACCAGAGGUACCUCUAUGUAUAAUUUUGCGCCACAAUCUACUCGAAAAUUCAUGUCUUGGGUGGAGUACUCCUGAAGGAUAGAGCAUGCCCUGCUUAUAUGUAUAGAAAGAAACAUAUAUGCUUUCAGUAUGGGGUAGCUAUCUAGCUUAGUAGAAUCCAGCAAGGUGAAGCAAAAAGUAAAGAAACUAAACUUUUGUGUUCUUUAACUUGUACGGGGUAUUAUUUAGGAGACAAAAAAAUUACGUCAAUGCUGUCAUAGCAGAUAAGUUCAUAGGAACAUAAAAAAUCCUCAAAAUAUCUUAAGUCUGCAAGACAGAUUGAGAAUGCAUAUAACUGAACAUUUACUAUGAUUUUGAAAAAAAUGCAACAUCCAUAUCCUAUAUGUCAUCUGCAGCAUUUUAGUUUCUGUUCUGCAAAGCAUGUGAUGUAUCUGUUACUAUUUUGUGAAAGUUUUCUGUGGCAAAGAGGAAUAGAAUGGAAGUCUAUGCAGCCUAAUUAGAUAACUAGCUUCUACUUCCUGAAUCCUUCAUGUUCAUGAUGAUCUGUGAUUUCUUGUAGUUGCUUCAUUGAUAGUCAAAGUUGCUUCUACAGGUCGAUUCUUGGAAUUUGAGUACGUGUACAAGUCUAGGCCACAAAUUUAAAAAUCAAAUGCAAGGAGAACAAUUUAUUUUCCAUCUCCAAGCAGUUGUGUCGCAGCCUCGUGAGGUCCCUUUCUUCAUCCAAAUUGAAGCACUUUAUGUUAGCUUAUCUUCGCUUUUGAAUUCAUAGUAAUGCAUCGCCUCACCCGUUUACUCUCCAUGGGAGAGUCGUAUGGAUCCUCAUUAGAUGUACUACUGCCUAUGAUGAUUCUAAACCUAUGAUGGUUCUAAGCUCAAAUAAUAGAGUACUUGUAUGUUUGAUCGAUGUGCUACUAAUAGAUCCUAAUGUUAUAGCAUAUGCCCAUAUUAAUGACUGAGGAUAAAACAUGGCGCCUGAAUAUGCAAAAAACAAAAUAAGUGCGCACAGGCCUGCUUAGGUGGCGCUACCAGGUGGCGCCCCAACCUAUAGUAAAGAAGGCAAAAAUAGGAAGGAGCGAGACGCGAAACACACAGGCACACAGCCCCGUGGAACCAGUUUCGUUUCCAUUUUCCAAGCAUUUGGCCAUCAGCGGAGAUGGGCCAGCAAUGGAGACGGCGUCGGAGCGUUCAACACGGACGCACUGGAGGGCGUGCGCGCCAUCCUGCUGAAACCGUCCGAGUCCCUCGACGAGUCCACCAGGAUCGCCGGCCCCGACUUCAACGACGCCGGCCUCGGCCUUGCCGGGAUGCUCGGGUCGCUCGCCUCCACGGGUUUCCAGGCGUCCCACCUCGGCGACGCCAUCGACGUCGUCAAUCAGAUGCUGGAUUGGAGGCUUCCGCGCGAGAAGCCAAGCGAGGACUGUGAUGAAGCUGAACUUGACCCAAAGUACAGGGAAUCUGUAAAGUGC